ACCUGCUGCUAUUGUUAAUUAAUUAGUUAUAUUUUUCCUCUGUAAUAACAUAGGUGGACUUCGAGGUACGCCUCUGUUCUAUUUCAGGCUAUUGAGCUUGAGACACAUGCUGUUAAGGGAGUGGGGAAAGUUCAUGCGAAGUAGUCUCCAAUUGCUACAGCCUCGUACAGGAUGCUCCCUGAGAAGCUCAAGUGUGAAGUGUGAAGCCGUGAAGUGUGAACUCAAGUGUGAAGCUGUGAAGUCCUACUCAGUUUAGAGUAGCAUAUUGUAGCGCAUCUGUGUUGUACAGCUUGUAAUAGAUUUAUUUAGUUGUAUAUUUGAUCAAUUUUAUGUGUUUUUAGUUCUAUUUGAAAUUCAUUCUUGGAUUGAAAGUGAUCAAAAAGACAAUAUAUUAGUAUUAAAUUUA